rnacentral:tmRNA from 1 species
GGGGAUGACGGGCUUCGACGGAACAUUGAAACGAAAUAAGCAAGCCGAGGCAGCACGCACACUCGUAAAACGGCGUGCACAAGAUUAAUUGCCAACGCAUUUAGUCGUCAGCCUGAGCUCGCAUACGCGUAGCUUAGGGAUCUCUUCCUAACUCCUGCUAGGGAACCAAGAGGUCUUAUACCGCAGGAUAGCGAUUAAGGACUGGUGACUUAAAAGCAAAGCUAAGCCAGUAAGGCGCGUAUGGUUUCUGUUACGUCUAAGCCAUGCCGCAUGAACCGACGUAACUACGCUUGUAGAAAGUUUCGGACUGAUAUGUUUCGGAUCUGGGUUCAACUCUCAGCAUCUCCACUC